UGGGGUAUAGCCAAGCGGUAAGGCAACGGUUUUUGGUACCGUCAUGCGCUGGUUCGAA
rnacentral:tRNA from 1 species